UCCCAAACCCCUCUUGCUGCCAUCAGUAAGUCAGUGAUGCUUCGUGUCCCCAACAGAUCUUAGCAGUAACUGAGAAAAUGCUCAUGGAAAUGCUUUGGAAAAGAAGUGAGAGACUGCAUGAUAGGAUUUCAACUACAUCUUAAGGCAUGGGACUUUCAGGAGGCUGCUGGAAUUAAAGGUGGCCACCUGACUUCAGAAUUCAUCAUUCAAUCCCUUCUGCCUCUGGGACUCUACCAAGAUUGUGUUUGUCCUAGCAGCAGCCUGACAGGCCGGAUGUCUUAUACAGUUUCCACUUGAGAAACUGGGACUCCAAACAGCAAAACAACGGGACCCGAGCUUAACUUUUGGUUUCGACUGAAGUGGAAUCCAGAAAUAAAUACACACGUGCCUCUGUGCUUGUCUCUCUCUCUGCAGCACCAGAGUCCUGACAGCAAAGACUCACAUGCAAAUUUGCAGCUCAGAAAACACAGGCAAGCAAUGGAUUUUCUUUAGGGAUCUUAAAGGGGCAGAUUGUGAAGUCUUGCUGAUGCUGCUGUGAGAUAAGUUAUGAUCAGAGGAAUCACUGAGUAAGGGUGUCAACUUGUGUCCCAAUGCAUAUGAAGCGGGUACACUAGAAUAACAACUCUGCUGGCUCUGGAAGUGCUGGCCAUGCUUACUUUAUGAAUGAGUAUGUGGUUCUUUUGUGUUUAACUCAUUCAGCUCAGCCUGGCAGCUGCAGAAAACUCGGAAACCACACAGAUUUCUGCUGUUGGAGCCUCCAUCUCUGAGCAAGACCAGCUGGAAUUCUGAGAUCUGUUACCUCUUAUUUCUUCAUGACAUCUUUGGGGAUACAUACAGACCAAACCUUAAAACGAAGUCAAACAUCGUACUCUGGUUCACUUCUUUAUGUGAACAGCACGACUCAGCGGUGCUCAGCGCACAGUGGUGCUCAGCACACAGUCCGUCCCAGCAGAUGGAAGCCUCGGAACACUGGCAAUUCAGCACAAUGACAUCAGCAUGGCUAUUCUCCAGAACCAAACUGUCUGGCUCCAGAGCCAAAAUAGCCAGAUGGUCCUGCCUUGAUUUAUCAACCAGGAAAUAGCCAAUGAUUGUGAAACCUCCCUGGACUUCUGAUAUUCUUAGAAAAAACAGGGGCAUGAGGCAACGGAAAGACAGACCAGAAGUUCUUUUAAAUGGCAUUGGUAAGGUUUUGGUAUAUUUUUCCAUUAUGUCUUCCUAUGAACAUAAAAUUUUUAUCCACGAUAUUGUUGUGAAAGUCCCAACCACAGUGGGCGUUCUAGCAAGUGGCUCCUUUCAUUUUUCCCAAUCAACAUUGAUAGUUGUGCUACCCAGCAAAGAGAUAAACAUGCAAAAGGCACCAUCUUCCCUGAUCUCAUGACACACGGUGACGUUGCAUAGCUGGGCUAUGACAACUGGCUCUGAAGUCACAUAACCAGGACACAACUUCCAUUCUGGCUUCACUAGCUAUGUGACAGUGAAUCCAGAUCUGUACCUUCUCAUAUUCUUGUACCAUGAAGUAUGAGAAAUGGCAGUAACCUUUAUAAUUUGAAGGUAUUGGGUGGCUAGAUGAGAUCAUACAAAUACCCAGUAGAAGAUGUGGUAAGCAAACGCUGACACCAUUGCAUACGCCAGUAAGAUUUUGCUGAAAGGACCCUCAUAUAGCUGUCUCUUGUGAGGCUACGCCGGUGCCUGGCAAACACAGAAAUGGAUGCUCACAGUCAGCUAUUGGAUGGAACACAGGGCCCCCAAUGGAGGAGCUGGAGAAAGUACCCAAGGAGCUAAAGAGGUCUGCAACCCUAUAGUUGGAACAACAAUAUGAACUAACCAGUACUCCCGGAGCUCAUAUCUCUAGCUGCAUAUGUAGCAGAAGUUGGCCUAGUUGGCCAUUAUUGGGAAGAGAGGCCCCUUGGUCUUGCCAACUUUAUAUGCCUCAGUACAGGGGAAUGCCAGGGCCAAGAAGUGGGAGUGGGUGGGUAGGGGAGUGGGUAGGUAGGGUAUGGGGGACUUUUGGGAUAGUAUUUGAAAUGUAAAUGAAGAAAAUACCUAAUGAAAAUUUUAAAAAUUGAAAAUAAAAGAAAAUGUGGUAAGCACCAAAAAGGUUAUCUGAUGAGCAGUGUGAUCUUACAUUUCUGUUAUAAUUGUUUUCACAAAACAAUGUGAACGAAAACUUGAUCGUUAGCCAUGGGGGCAGUGAAGUGAAGAUACUGGGAAUGAUUUUUAAAGGAAAAGGUGGAGGUGGGUGGAAUUUGGGAAGAGGUCAGAUAAUGGGACCAAUGCCAAAGAUGAUCCCAUAUUUUGGCAUGAGGGACUAGGUAGAGAGAUGAAGACAGAUACAUGGGUAUGUAGAGUCUGGGGCUCUAAAAAGGACAUUUAUCAAGGGAGUUCAUUUGUAUGAAAAAUCUGCCAUACAAAAGAGGAGGAUAUUAAAGUUACAGAGAGCAUCCACAAAACUUAUUUUGUAUGGAAACCAAUCUAGAGAAGCUGGGGUUUUUGUACUGUUGUUGCUUAAGGAGAUAAUGUCAAAGAGAACAGAUUGCCCUUUUGGAACAUCAACUUUGGAUUUAUUAAAAUAAUUGACCCAAUUUGAUGAGUGAAAUGCCUACUUCUAAAGUCCAGUGCAACUCAGAGGCUAUAGUUCUCUUGUAGUUUUGCUUUUGGGUGACAUUACAUCAAGGUCCUAAAACCUCCUUGAGGGCAUGUGGAAUGAAUUUUGACCUAUGAAGCAAUACAACCCCAGCAUGCACUGAUGAUGCUAUGUCAAAGCAAAGCCAAGUAAAGACACUAUCUACAUUUACCUACUCUGAUCCCAAUUGGCAGCAAACAGCAAGAGAAUCUUCCUGCCAUAGUGGUCACGAUUUUCCAGCACUCCGGGGAAUCCGUCGAUCAAAGCCCUCUUAAUCCCGGGAUCAUCUGCCUUAAAGUUUUUGAACAUGUCCAGGUUCAGCUGGCGGUACUGAAAGUACUGGGCCAGGAGUCUGAAGGCAUCGGCUUGGUGAAACUUCCUGGCUCGAAGAAAUCGCAGAAUGAAGGCAUCAUCUGUACGUAAAAACCCAAUGUCUGGUCUGGUGAUGAUCAUGUCUCUGACUUGUUGAAUGUCCUGAUGUAAAAUAUCUGGGUUUUCAUUCAGUUCCAGACGAGCUUUUUCUAUAGUGUCUGGACUGAGCCCAGCCUGCAAAUGCGUCAUCUUGGCCAAAUCUCCUUCCCAAGUGCUUAAGCUCUGAGGUGAGGGAAGAACAGAAACUGGUCCCAUUCACAUGGAAGUGUGCUGAAUCCGUGGCCCAUUCGAUGGCUCCCCUACAAGACUGCUCCCCAAACAGACGGGUACAGAGUCUUCUUUCUGUCCUUGGAGAACAGCAGGACAUUCAGGCCCUAUGUGGUGGUGGCCAUCCAAAAGAGGAGGGAAACCGAAGCCAUUGCUUACUGAAAAACAGAUGCACACAGGAGAAACAAGAGAGAGAGAGAGAUGAAGCAGAGAAUAUCCGGGCAAAUUCAUUGAAGUCUAGAUAGAAGAGUUCAUUGAAGUGUGGGUCUGAUGAGCAUAUACCUUGCAACUAAGCACAUAUAAUCCUUAGAUAGGACAUUUGGCCGUAUUAUUAACAACUUGAAUAGUUAACAUACAAAUAUUUGAAAUACAUUCACAAAAGUUUUAGUUACAGUGAGUGACUCCUUAAGAUAAUGGUCUGUAGUCAGAUUAGCGAUAGAGUGAUUUUUAUUAAUGAAUGGUUUUGUUGUUGAUGAUGCUAAAGCAUGCUUAUGUGGCUGUUCAUGGGCCUAAAUACAACAGAGAUGUUAUGGCUGCUAUACAAUUGAUUGGUUCCCAUUAGCCUCAUUUCUCACACAAGUAUCCCAGACAUAAAUAUGUCUCUCACAUUUUUUAAGGGCAGCCCUUCGCGGCUUGAGACUACUAAAGGUCACCCUAACCUAACCCUAAGGUGCCUAAUUAAUAGCAAGCGUGUUUCCACAGGCUAGGUUAUGCCAGACAAGUUCAGGGCUGGAAGCUUGACCUUCAGGAAGGACAUUUUGAGCCAUGAGAAAGGUUUGCAGGCUCAUGUGGAACUUGUGGUUUUGACUUCUUCCUGUCCUGCUAAGAAACCACAGGCACCCAAGGCUCUCAAUCUGCUCUCUACCUCACCCAUAUGGACUUCUAAAUCUGUCCAUUUGCUAUAAAUUUUCUAUUGUCCUCAGCUACUGUUUUACAAAGGAAAAGAAAAGAGUUUUGAUUAUCAUCUCAUUUCUCCUGGUAAAUGAUAAACAAAAGAAGAAAAUCACCUGUAUUCUUUGAAUCUUUCUUUGUAUACUUGAUCCAAGAUAUCUCUACAUUCACCAUUCUCUUAGACAGUCUGAUCAACAUCUUCUCACCAACAUACCAAAGAUGGAUGUAUCAUUGUUAUAGAAACAUAGGCACUAAUGACACAAGCAAGAGUCAUCUGAAAGGAGGAGCAUCAAGUGAGAAAUUCCUUUCAUAAGCUCAAGCUAUAGGCAAGUCUAUACAGAAUUUUCUUAAUAAUUGAUGCAGGAGGCCUAGCUCAUUGUGGGUGGUGCCACACCUAGGCUGAUAGUCCUAGGUGCUAUAAAAAAACACACUGAGCAAAGCAUGAGGAGAAAUCUAAUAAGUAGCACCCUUCCAUGGCCUCUACAUCAGUUCCUGCCUCCAGGUUCACACGUUCUUUGAGUUUCUGCCUUGGUUUCCCUCAAUGGACUGUGGUUCAGGAUACAUAAGGCAAAUAAAUCCUUUCUUCCCCAAGUUGCUUUUGUCCAUCGUGUUUCAUCAAUAGUAUCAGCAAUAGUAACCCUGGCUAAGAUAGAUACUAACAAUGAUGAUGCUGGAACAAACAAACUGGAAGGAUACCAAGCAGUCUAGACAGUAUUGAAUGGCACUCAUGUUGCUACAUACAAAAGUCAGUUUUCAGUUUCCAUUUUCGGUGACAUCCAUUAGUAUUGGACACCGACCUUUUCCUCCUUAGACCAUCUUCUCCUUCCCUCAUUCCUUUCUCUGUCCACAGGCCCUGGCCAUCCCUGCCCCCUGCAUCUUGUUUCCCCUGCUCAUUCUGCUCCCUAUGUGCAAGCCAAUACCACAAUCUUCAGGAUCCUGCCCCAUGAUCUGUCUACCUGCAAGCAAACAACUCCAGUCCCUAGCCUUCUUCUGAUCUCCAGGCUCCUUCUUCAGUUGCCCACUGAGCAUCUUCCUGCAAAUAACCUACAGAUACAAAGAUAGUAUGUUCAAAACUGAACUAUUCAUAGUUCCCAAUCCUCCAGUUUCAUCUCUUAGUGAAUGACAACAACUUCCAUGAAAGUUCACAUUUGGAAAUCUGAGAGACAUCUCUUAUUAUACCCUCUCUUUCUCCAUCCACUACUGGGCAGUCACAUUUUUAUUAGCUCUCAAAUCUUCCCAUCUUUUCAGAUCCACGGUUGUUGGCAUAACUGAGACCAUCACCCACCCCAGUGUUUAGACUGGAAACAGGCUUUCUACCAUAGCCUUUGUUGCCAAUUUAUUUUCUACAUUCCCACUACUCUGUAUUACAACUGAAAUAAACUCAUAUUGCACUGUGA